rnacentral:rRNA from 1 species
GACGAACGCUGGCGGCGUGCUUAACACAUGCAAGUCGAAGGGAGUGGCGAACGGGUGAGUAACACGUGAGUAACUUGCCCUUUUCUUUGGGAUAAGCCUGGGAAACUGGGUCUAAUACUGGAUGGAUUGGGACGGGCUCGCGGCUUAUCAGCUUGUUGGUGGGGUGAUGGCUUACCAAGGCUUUGACGGGUAGCCGGGCUGAGAGGGGGGUCGGUGACACUGGGACGGUGAGACGGCCCAGAGUCCGACGGGAGGGAGCAGGGGGGGAUAUUGCACAAAGGACGAAAGUCUGAUGCAGCGACGUCGUGGGGGGUAUGAAGGGCUUCGGGUUGUAAACUCCUUGCGCCCGAGGAAUGGUAGUGGGUAAAGAAGCGCCGGCUAACUACGUGCCAGCAGCCGCGGUAAUUC